GAUGAACGCUGGCGGCGUGCCUAAUACAUGCAAGUCGAGCGAACAGACGAGGAGCUUUCUCCUCUGACGUUAGCGGCGGACGGGUGAGUAACACGUGGAUAACCUACCUAUAAGACUGGGAUAACUUCGGGAAACCGGAGCUAAUACCGGAUAAUAUAUUGAACCGCAUGGUUCAAUAGUGAAAGACGGUUUUGCUGUCACUUAUAGAUGGAUCCGCGCCGCAUUAGCUAGUUGGUAAGGUAACGGCUUACCAAGGCAACGAUGCGUAGCCGACCUGAGAGGGUGAUCGGCCACACUGGAACUGAGACACGGUCCAGACUCCUACGGGAGGCAGCAGUAGGGAAUCUUCCGCAAUGGGCGAAAGCCUGACGGAGCAACGCCGCGUGAGUGAUGAAGGUCUUCGGAUCGUAAAACUCUGUUAUUAGGGAAGAACAAAAGUGUAAGUAACUAUGCACGUCUUGACGGUACCUAAUCAGAAAGCCACGGCUAACUACGUG
rnacentral:rRNA from 1 species